ACCGAAAAGGGAACGUGUUUCGUACGACUAGUCAACCAUUCCGAAAGCUUC
rnacentral:sRNA from 1 species